CCGACCGCUCGACCCUCUCGACGCUCUUCUCCCAGUGCCUGUCUCCUAGCAGAGGGACCGGAAGUGGUUCGAAGAGGGGGGCUCGGUCCCUCCUCAGGUGAAGGCGCCGCCGAUGGAGCCGCCGCUGCGGAGCCGUUGAGCCCCGCUCCGGCGCCCCCCACACUCCUCCCAGUGACUGGGCCGGGGGGGCCCUCCCCGCAGUGAAGCCGCUGGGUUGGAGCCCCCCCGUUCAGAGUGUCUUAAAGAUGGAUAUAGAGGACUGCAAUGGGCGUUCUUACAUAUCCGGUAGUGGGGAUUCUUCUUUGGAAAAGGAGUUCAGCUCCACCAUUGUGGGGCCCACAGUGAGCACACCAAACAGCCAGCACUCCUCUCCAAUCCGCUCUCUUAGCGGUGAGUACAUGACCUACCUGCUCCAGAUACCUACAGCAGAUUCGAUCAAGGUGGAAAUGUACAGUGAUGAAGAAGGAAGCAGGCUGCUGUCGCAAGACGACCGGCUCCUUGAAAAGGAUGACAGUGUGAUUGUGGAGGAUUCUCUCUCUGAGCCCCUUGGCUACUGUGAUGGGUCCGGGCAGGAACCACAUUCCCCUGGCGGCAUCCGGCUACCCAAUGGCAAGCUAAAAUGCGACAUUUGUGGGAUGGUGUGCAUCGGCCCGAAUGUGUUGAUGGUGCACAAACGCAGUCACACUGGCGAGAGGCCGUUCCAUUGCAACCAGUGUGGCGCCUCGUUCACCCAGAAAGGGAACCUCCUGCGUCACAUCAAGCUGCAUUCGGGCGAGAAGCCUUUCAAAUGUCCGUUCUGCAAUUACGCCUGCCGGAGGAGAGAUGCGCUCACCGGCCACCUCCGCACACAUUCAGUCUCCUCCCCCACGGUCGGCAAGCCCUACAAAUGUAAUUAUUGUGGCCGCAGCUACAAGCAGCAAAGCACCUUGGAAGAGCACAAAGAACGCUGUCACAACUACCUGCAGAGUCUUAACACUGAACCACAGUCGCUGGCUGGCCAGCACGGUGACGAGAUGCGAGACUUGGAGAUGGUGCCAGACUCCAUGCUUCACUCCUCAGCCGAUCGGCCUGCCUUCAUUGACCGACUGGCAAAUAGCAUCACCAAACGAAAACGCUCUACACCUCAGAAAUUCGUGGGAGAGAAGCAGAUGCGGUUUGGCCUCUCCGAAGUAGCUUUUGACGUCAACUCUAGCUUUGACAAGGACGUGGAGAUGGUGGCUGCUCACCACCCCAUGGACCACAGCUUUGGAGGCUCGCUGUCAUUUGUGGGGGCAGAACACUUGCGCCCCCUCCGACUCCCGCCCACAAACUGCAUCUCUGAGAUCACUCCUGUCAUCAGUUCUGUCUACACCCAAAUCCAACCCCUGCCAGGCCGGCUGGAAAUCGCAGGAAGCCGAGAAGCUGCCGAAGGCCACGAGGACCUCCACGACGGGACGCAGAUCGUGUACCGGGCGUCGCGGGAGCCGAGCAUGGUGUCGCCUAGCAACGGCUGCCAGGAUUCCACAGACACUGAGAGCAUCCACGAGGAGAGGGGCUCCCAACAGCCGCUGCUGUCGGGCAUUGGGAACUGCACCAGCAGCCGGCAGAGUCCGGCCUACGCCAAAGAGGACCUGAAACUGCAGGAGGGCAUCAUCCCCGCCACUACCCGGUCAACUCCCAGCUCAGCCAAAGAAGCCCUGCGGGUGGUGAACGACGAAGGGGAGCAGGUGAAAGCCUUCAAAUGCGAGCACUGCCGGAUCUUAUUCCUGGACCAUGUCAUGUUCACCAUCCACAUGGGCUGUCAUGGUUUCAGAGACCCUUUUGAAUGCAACAUCUGUGGCUAUCACAGCCAAGACCGGUACGAGUUCUCCUCCCACAUAGUGCGAGGGGAGCAUAAAGUAGGCUGACCCCCAAAUCCCCUUCCCUCUUCUUCCUCCUCCCUAGAAGUCCCCCCUUCCCGUCUCUAGUGCUCCAUCCUAGUUGGGUAUGGAUCCUUUUUUUUUUGUUUCUUUUAUAACUCCUUUGCACUGACUUUGGCUAAAAAAGAGAAAUAUAAAAAAAAAACACUAACUAAAAAUCUAUUAAGCUUGAGACCGGGAGGAGCUUGUAUUGAUUUGCCUUUUUCUAUGCUGUGUUAUUUAAAUAUCGUUAACUGGUUUUGAGAUUUGUUCUCUGAUUCUCUUCCCCUUGUAGUUAUUUAUGAAUCUUUAAUUUUUGUUUGUUAACCCUUUCCUUGGUUGUUUUGCUAGGAACUUUAUCCGCUGAGGGACACAGGUGUGUGUGUGUCUCUUUAAGGUCUAAGUCCCUUCUUCCUCCUCCGUUUGAAGUUCCUUUGGGUUUCUUUUGGUUUCAGUCCAGGUGUCUUGGUCGGUCCAUCGUGUUAGACAUCCUGAACCUCAGAUCAGGUGCUAAAAUAUUAUAGAACUCCCCUCUCCCUCCCAUUUGAGGGGACAGGAAAGUGGCAACACGCUCGCCCGAGGUAAUGUCAAGACGAACCACACGCGCCCUCUUUUCUGGGCGUCAGUGAAACGGAGCAUAGAAUAAUGUCCUGUUAGGACUUCCGUGGUUGCAAGAACUCAAUACCUCUGUGCUUCUGCUCACAAUAGCUUUUUAACUGAAAUGUGCUAUCUUCCUCUGUCGGGGCAUUGAAGGCGUAUGGCAGAUUUUGCAGCCGGUGAAGAUGAAGGAGCCGCUGCGCCACCUGAGUUGAAGGCAGGUGGCGAACGCUUUGUACGCAAAACCUGCCCGGGCGCUGCCUUUACAAACUCAACCGAGAGGUGGCAUUUGGAAAGCAAACGCUGUCCUGAGGAUGCAGUGAAGGAACUUGAGCAACUUCUAGGCAAGGCUGUCUUCUGCCUCCCAGCUGUCAGGAAUCUGGGAUGUUGCCCUGCCCACAGUCAUGCUUGGUACAUUGGGCGGACAGCCUGACCCUUCUCUCCAGUAGUUGUGUUGGAGGUAACCUUCCCUGAGCUUCCUUCCGUUGGCUCUGAAAGAGCUGUUCUUGCCUGUGUUCUUAGAAGGUGCAAGUCUCGCCUGUUUUAAGCAAGAAGCUCUCCACUGCCUGGCUUCCAAAAGAGUGCAACUUCCUUUAGGAUGAAUAAACAAACAUGACCCUGCUGCCCAGGAUAAGUCCCAAAGAGACGUCUCUGAUAAAUUUUCCAUCGGGGGGGAGGAAAGAUGCUGGCUGCGGUCUCUGGGAUUAACCCAACUGCCUCUCUAGUAGCAAGCCGAACUAGGACAGUCCUCCAGAGCUGGGAGCACAAAUCGUGCUUCGUCCUCUUCUUACACCCGUGCCUAGUUAUUUGGCCUCUGUCGUCCAUAGUCCGCAGAUUUGUUGGCCAAUGAGGAGCUUGAGCUUUGACUGCGCAGCUUUUUCCCCCACCGAGCGUGACUUCCGGUGUUUGCUUGGACUCUUCAGAUGGUUUGCAAGCCUUGUCAAUCAACAGCCGGGAUUUUUUUUUUUUUACUCAUUAGUAAGAUCACAGUCAGAAAGUCUGCUUCUGUGGCAAAAGAAGUCCGUCAUCUGCAGCCAGGAGGGUGCGUGCUUUGCAAAAAAACCCCAGCUUCUUUUCAGGAGAAUCUCUCCCCCCCCUGGAUUAGAGAGGUGACUUUUCUUUUUUUUAUAGGUCACUUUUUUCAACAGCCUGGAAAGAGUGGCAGCGGACACCUGUCCCAGUUUCCUUAUAGGACAUAUUGUUGGGCAGCCGGCUUGGGGGGGGCAACCCGACACCGGUGCAGAUUCAGUAGGGAGCUCUUGUCCUGCCGUGGGUAUUCAGUGUCUUAAAGUCGCAGUAAAGGGCUGAAACUUCCAUUCCGUAGCUCGGGUCUCGUACGGCUGUCAUGACAGGACCGCUUUCGGAAGUCGGUCACUUCGCUUGUCAGGUUUAUGCAGCCGUUCCUGCCCAUCAAAAUUACACCAACUGCAUAUUUUUUUAAAGUUUUUUUUUCCUUUAUAGUGCAAUUAAAAAAAAGAAAAACCAGGCAUGCCGAUGGUACUUUCUCUGAAGAGUGUAGUAUUUGCCAAAUGUAUUAAGGCAGAAUCACUUGGGAGUUUUUGCCUUUGUUCAAGGACCAGUCUUGGAGGCUGACCUGCAAGGGGGGGGAACCUUGGCUGACUGAAAAUCCGGAGAUAAAGCUACGGCUGCCUUCUGAUCUAGCUGGGCAGAGGCCAUGGCAAGGAGGACACGGCUCUUGGCUUUUACGCAAACGCCCGUCAUGCAUAAAAUUACUUUGCUCAAUUGCAGCCCGGUGAACUGUUUUUGCGGGAUAAACCAAAGGCUGUUCUUUUCUCUUUUUUUCUACAAAAAGAAAGAAAACCUCAAGAUACAACACUUUCGUUCCCUCUUAUUGUUUCAAGAUGUGAAAUAGCGGUGUUUUAGAGCUGUUCUUUGAAGGGUUUAGGUGCUUAGGUGAAAAGCUCUGGUCAGGUGGGACAUUUGGGGGGAGUUAUUCAAGGAAGUGGGAAGGGGUGGGGCGCCUUCCUUUAAGAACUUGCCCUCUACUGUUAUAUUGGGGCGGGGGAGAUCUCUAAGUUAUUGUGGUACAAAGCUGCCCCCCCCCCCCCCCCGGCGCUCUCUCUCUGGUUUAGCAUAUCUUAUAGGCUCUGGGGGCCUUUUGAACUGGUCCCAGCAAUAUAUAGUGUAGCUUCAACAGAUGAUGAAAUAAUGGGAUGUUAGAAUCCUUGUCAUUCUGAUCACAGUUGUGCACUAAAAAUGAAAUACGCUGGGGUUUUUUUUGCCAAAUUGUUAUGGGGGCAUGCUCGUCUCAGUCUUGCUUUUCAGCGAGGGCUACACUUUUAAACCCCUGAAGUCCUUUAGGCUCAAAGGGUUGGGUUUUUUUUAAAGCACUUGCCUUUCCUCUCGAUGUCCCUAUAAAAUAUUCAGCACUUCUUUACGACUGUUGCAUCUAAAGAAGCCGCUCACGUGGCCUGCCUUAUCCCCCAAACAAUUCCCAAGAUUUAGAUGUUCAUUAAAAUGUGUUGUGCAAAUUAUUCAGCAACAGGAAUUGGCCACUGGCAGUUUGGCAAAUUGUUUGGGGGAGGGUGGGGCUCCCCAGUUGACUGGCAAAUAAGAUUGUGUGAACGAGCCCUUAAACAUUGUUCUUUUGAAUGGUUUUUGAGUUCAGGUUGUUCUAAAGGGAUUUAUCUGCUACGGAUCGGGCAAUGUGAAGGUUUAAGAUAGAUUGAUGCAGGUAGUUUGGUAAAAGAGAAUUGUGUAGUGCAGGAGUCUGCAACCUGUGGCUCUCCAGAUGUUCAUGGACUACAAUUCCCAUCAGCCCCUGCCAGCAUGGCCAAUUGAUCUUCUGAUCUACGUGGCCAAUUGUAGAUCUACUGAUAUACAUGGCCAAUUGGCCAUUCUGGCAGGGGCUGAUGGGAUUUGUAGUCCAUGAACAUCUGGAGCACCGCAGGUUGCAGACCCCUGGUGUAGUGCAUAAACUGCAAGGUUGUUCCAUGUGUGUCCCCAGAACUCUGAGAGAACAGAUCUUAAAAGUUGCUUCCCAUGUUUCUUUAAAAAGCACGGGUGGGCCCUCAGGAAGACUUCUCUAAAGACCUGUAAGAGCAUCAGAAAUCUAAUGCUAUUACUUGUAAUAACCUCAAAGCUGAUUUCCAACUUGCUGUUUGCCAAAUCAUGUUUUUGGCCCAUCCGAUGAGUGAGCAUAAUAUUCUUUUUCAAUUCAACUUCAGAGUAUAGCUUUUCUGGGAAUCGCUCUGCAGAGCAGGAUUCCUUUUUAGAAGGAUGCCCUUAGAAAAGUUUCAGGGUUAGCACCGGCACUGUAAUGAGAAUACCCACAGAGACCAAAUGUCACAGCAGGAUUGGAUCUCUGGGAGAAGAGACGUAUGUUCAGGUCCAAACAGACUUGUGUUUUAUGAAAUAAUGGAGCAACCCACAGAAGGGCCAUUUGUAUACAUGUUUUUCCCCAGUAUGACUCUGUGUCUAAGUAGAAAAUGCAGAUGCUUUUCGGUAUACAACAUAAGCAGAUCUUCUCCGUGUCGAACCUUAGCAAUGGCGUUUUUCUCUGGGGCUAUCUUGACUCCUGAUCUGUAAUUUCUGCUAUACUUCUAUGCAGUGGCGUACCGCUAAUGGGGACAUGGGGUAUCCCAUGCCGCCGUGCACCUGCCGCCGAGCCCCACCCCUCUCCCUGGCCUCCCUGCAGGCUGACUCCUGCCCAGGCCCUGGGGAGGGCAGGAGCCAGCCUGCAGAGAGGCUGGGGGGCGGGGCUCGGCAGCAGCCAGCCCAGGCGAGCGCUGCGGUGCCCGUCUGAGCCCUGCCCUCCCUGCUGGCUUCUGUAAGAGGGGCGCAAGGGGUGCGGGAAUCAGGGCAGGGAGAGGCGGUCAUCCCCUCGGGUCCCGUAUAGGCUUAGUUCGCCACCACUGAUCUAGUGUCUUUUGAGUCAAACCGUGCAUUUUAAUGGGCACUCCUUCUAUAAUACCAAAGCAAAACGACAAAAUGGUAUUGAUGAAAUCCUCCAGCCAAACCCAAGAACGGUCUAGUUUUGCAUGGAAAAGGUGCCGUUUCCUGCCUGGUCAAAUAAAAUAAAAUAAAUCAUUCUCCAACCCGAAGCAGAGUUUAUAACCUUCUAAUACAACAGAUUUCAAUGGAUUAAAAGGGUACGACUCUGCUUAGUAUAUUAGUGUAAAUGUAUGUCGCCAGCUUUCUCAGUGGGCCAGUUGUAUCUGCUUUUAAGUUGCUCACUUUUGUGCAUCCGAUUGGCUAAAGUGAGAGUUAUGGAACUACUCAGCAACAACAACAUGGCAACUUAGAAGCUUGUAUUGUGCAUGAGUAG